AGUAACUACAUGACAUCUACAAUUUCUUUCAAAUUUACUUAACUGUCUUCAUCCAUCUUUCAUUUCUCAAACAUGGUUGCAUCUGGGGAAGAGAUUGGAGCGCUCAAUCUCCUAGGAAACAUUAAUUAUGAAGAUGAAGAGGUUACUCAACCAUUAAUAGUCCCAUCUGCUGCUUCUCCGACGGUUCAACAUGAAUAGGCUAAUUCCCCAAAUGAUAUGGAAUCUGUAAGAAGCCAGAUCAGGAAGUUGGAACAGAAGC
rnacentral:lncRNA from 1 species